ensembl:lncRNA
GCUUGAUUUGCUUUUCCUUUGCGUUUUAAAUAGUGGUGCAUUUUAAAUAUCGCUUGAUCAGGCUCAUUUAAUUGUGAGAAGCCCAAGUUGCUGGGAGAGGUGCUGGUGAGCCAGGGAAUUGAUGAAGUUGUAACUAUGGUAACCUGAGUAAAACUGGUAAACAAAUUUUGCCAGUGUUGAUGAUUAAAGCAUCUAAGUUUUGGUCGCUUGUCUGGCGUCAGCUGGCCAGAGUCUCUAUCAGACUCAGACUCUGGUUUAUUGUCAGUCUGUCUUUGUAGGCCAUGUGACACAGACCAUCAGCGGCUGAUUGUGGCAAAGAGCAUAAAAAGAGCAGAGCUGGAAAGUUUUCCCUUCCCCACAAACACACACACAGGUAUAUGGCUCAGAUAUCCAAGUACACACCACAUGACUUAUUUCCUUGCAACUUCCCUGCAACAUUUAAAGCAAAAAAUUAAAAAAUUAAAAAAUUAAAAAAAUCAGUAAACUUGUAAUGUUCUUGUUCCUUUUCUGUUGCAAGUUUGAGCCAUGGGAAAUUAUCACAAAAACAAUCAUCACACAUCACAUCCCUUUCACUAUUCUGCUCGCUUUAGUACACAUCUCUCAUCAGCCGUUGGUGACAGUCAUGAAAUUGAUUUGUCGGGGAAAUGCCAAUCUUCUUAAAAUCCUGUUUAAUUUCAUUCAUUGUUCAUCAACCAACCAGUGUUAGUGGCUUUGAAUCUUGCUAGCAUAACAGGAUCUUUCUGGUGCAUAGCUGAGCUGCAGAACUCUGUGCGCUCAGCAGAUGUGGAUACACGUCCCCAGGUUCACACUAUUUACUGAGCCGUGUUUUCAUUACAUUAUAAUCUUAUGACAUGGCAAUACUUGUUCCAGGUAUUUGUGACAACACUCACAGGUGUCGCUAGGUUAUGGUUUGUCCUGUUUUGAUAGCAAUUUUCAUGGAAAUAUGCAAAUCAUCCCUGUUUGAUAUCCUGUUGGCUCAUUAAUCUCUAAUAACGUGCACCUCAUGGGACAUUAUUCCUUUGUUAACAAACCUAAUUUUAAACUCGUUAUUGCAAAUUCAUUAUUAUAAUAUUGUGAUGUACAGGGUUUGUUAUAUGGGUAUGUUACUAAUAUAUGCAUGUAGGACCCAGCUGAAACUCAUAUUAUCUGAAUUAGGAGAUAAUAU